rnacentral:rRNA from 1 species
GAUGAACGCUGGCGGCGUGCCUAAUACAUGCAAGUCGAGCGAAUGGAUUAAGAGCUUGCUCUUAUGAAGUUAGCGGCGGACGGGUGAGUAACACGUGGGUAACCUGCCCAUAAGACUGGGAUAACUCCGGGAAACCGGGGCUAAUACCGGAUAACAUUUUGAACCGCAUGGUUCGAAAUUGAAAGGCGGCUUCGGCUGUCACUUAUGGAUGGACCCGCGUCGCAUUAGCUAGUUGGUGAGGUAACGGCUCACCAAGGCAACGAUGCGUAGCCGACCUGAGGGGGUGAUCGGCCACACUGGGACUGGAACACGGCCCAGACUCCUACGGGAGGCAGCAGUAGGGAAUCUUCCGCAAUGGACGAAAGUCUGACGGAGCAACGCCGCGUGAGUGAUGAAGGCUUUCGGGUCGUAAAACUCUGUUGUUAGGGAAGAACAAGUGCUAGUUGAAUAAGCUGGCACCUUGACGGUACCUAACCAGAAAGCCACGGCUAACUACGUGCCGGCAGCCGCCGUAA